AGUGACUGAAAGUGAAAGGAAAUGUGACUGAAUGAGAAAAAAAUGAAUGAGUAUACUUGAAGGACUCCAGUACAAAUCACUAAACAUGACCAGUGCUUUCAAUUUAACAAAGAGUCAGAUUAACAACUAAGGUACAAUAGGUUUUAUUUUUAUUUCAUUAUAAAUAGAGAUGUACAGAUGAAGGCCAAUACUGAGGUUCCUUCCCAGGAGCCUGUCACAGUAAACUCUUGUCCAUUCGAACCCACAGUUAUCUUUUUCUGCCAGCAUCCUUCAACAUAGACAUGUGGACUUCUGAAGACCAAUUCAGACAACUUCACACCAUUCACCCAGCAGCUGAAGCCGGCAGCUGUAGAAGCAGCAACAGUAGACACAGCACACAGAAAACAGGAUUAAGAAGCGUCCCUAAAUGCAAUUGUGUCUAACAAGAUGACAGCAUGACAAGGUGAUGUCUUACCUUCACGGCAAACUCUGCUUCUGUGGAUUUGUGUACACACCUCUUGCAUACUGAAUGCAUCCUUACCUGGACAAUGGGGUGAACUGUGAUUUUGUGGACUUCUUGCUGUGGAGGCUCCUGCACCAAGUUGGAUGCAACAAAGCUGAAUCCCCUGAAGAGAUUAUGAGCGUUGGCACUUGGAGGGACGCCUGGGGAAUCUGCAGAGGAGCUUCCAACUGAAUUGGGGGGAAAAGAACGGAGCUGCAUUUUAAUUUGGUGAUGUGAACCUAGCCUAUGUCAUCCAAUCACCUGAAGACUUUACCACUCUCCUGUUUCCCUGGAUUUCUGAAUAGAUGCAGAUGUGUUGGAAAUUCUUGUCCGCACUACAGUUUCUCUCCAUGCUAGUAUUACUCCAGAUUCUAUAGAGCCGAACUGGUGUGGGAAAAUAUCACAGUAUGGACUCCUUCCAUGUAAUCUGGUCGUUUCACAAAAUACUGGAGGCAUAGAAAGGAACAUUGCUGUAGCAGCAACCGU